rnacentral:lncRNA from 1 species
UCACUAUCAGCUGAUUUUAUGUAAACAAAGGCACAGCUGAGAGGUGCCACUGUAGAAACGUCAAGUGUAGUCCGAGGUUGAGUUUCUAUUUGAAUCCAAGAUGGCCGACUUUUAACAAAGAUGGCCGACUUUUCACCGGAAAAUGGUUGCAUUGUGUUAUUUUCUUAAAAUUUAUGGAAAAGUUGUCCCAAAAAUAUUGGUUAUAUAUAAAAGUUUAAUAUAUUUUCAAAAGAAAAUCGUUUUAUUUUAAUAUAUAUUCUUAAAGAUGAGAACAAUAUGAGCUAAUACAUGAAAAAUUAAGUUUUUUAUUUAUGCCUCUUUUUAACUGUGGUAAGUUAAUAAAUGUUCACCACAGAAAAAUGUUACGAACAAAUAAGCAACCAUGCCGAAUAGUGGGGUCCAGAUUAUACUCAUUCACAGCCAUAUUUACAUUUUUGCCAUCGUAACGAAGGUUUUCGCAAGGAAAUUUGUUUGAGUUUAUUUCAUGGUUAAAUGCUUUACGGUGGUUUAUUUAGUUAUUUGAAUCUGGAAGAAGUGUGCAAAUUUCCCUUGAGACGGUAAAUAACAGAUCGGGUUGGGAUUUUAUUCCAAUAAAAGUACGGAAUAACUAAACAUGGCCUCGUUAAUACUGCUGCGUAAUGGGUCAGGUGCUGUUCCAAUUUUAUGGUUUAAGAGAUGUAAAAGCGAUAUGCGAUGCUGUGAAGUACUCAAAUGUAUUUACGAACUUAGUUGGUCGUGAAUUCGAAACAAAAUUUUAAAUUCAAUGACGUGCUUGUGGAAGGUGCACGUCGCAUUGCUAGAAUCAGCAAAGAAGCUGAUGUAGAACGUUUGAUUAUUUGUCUGCUUUAAACGCUAGUCCCAAACCAAUGAGCUUUGUGUUUGAGGGUGGAAGUAACUUUUUGAAGAGCAAAUACUCCGGUGAGCACAUUCGGAUGUUAUACAAGCUAUUGUCAAUUGCGUUUAGGAUCCCGAUACUGCUGGUCAGGUUUAUCAAGCUGUUGGACCAAAGCGUUACCAGUUGAGCGAAUUAAUUGGCUGGUUUCAUCGUGUUAUGCACAAAAAUCCUAUCCUACCUUCUUAUUGAAAGCCAAGUUCACUGAGCUUAUCUGUCCUGGACAACCUAUUGGUGAGCUACAUAUGGAACGUAUCGAUCGCGAAUGUAUUACCGAUGCCGUUCCCUCGGAAAUACCGUGGUUGAAGAAUUUGGGUGUACAAUUGACCUCCAUGGAAGAGCAAGUACCAUGGGAAUUGUGACCAUAUCGUGCUGCGCAAUAUUAUGAUGCCGAAUUGGGAGAGUGGGGGAACCAGCUCCACCAAAACCGAUAGAACACCGGGAAGAACUACGCAAAUUAUAAACAACACUCAUCAAAUGAAAGUUGGCAGCGUUGGUGACUAAGCAGCGAUUUGUAAAAGAAACAUUUGCAUCUACGCGAAUUACAAUUCGUCUUUACAUCUAGUGAAUUAUGGUCGAUUAUGAAUGGUGUGGAAGUUGAUAUUUAAACUUAAAAAAAAAA